rnacentral:rRNA from 1 species
ACGGGAGGCAGCAGUGGGGAAUAUUGCGCAAUGGGCGGAAGCCUGACGCAGCGACGCCGCGUGGGGGAUGACGGCCUUCGGGUUGUAAACCUCUUUCAGCAGGGACGAAGCGCAAGUGACGGUACCUGCAGAAGAAGCACCGGCCAACUACGUGCCAGCAGCCGCGGUAAUACGUAGGGUGCAAGCGUUGUCCGGAAUUAUUGGGCGUAAAGAGCUCGUAGGCGGUUUGUUGCGUCGGCUGUGAAAUCCCGAGGCUCAACCUCGGGUCUGCAGUCGAUACGAGCAAACUAGAGUGUUGCAGGGGAGACUGGAAUUCCUGGUGUAGCGGUGAAAUGCGCAGAUAUCAGGAGGAACACCGGUGGCGAAGGCGGGUCUCUGGGCAACAACUGACGCUGAGGAGCGAAAGCGUGGGGAGCGAACAGGAUUAGAUACCCUGGUA